rnacentral:lncRNA from 1 species
UUCCAGGACAGCCAGGGCUACACGGAGAAACCCUGUCUCGAAAAACCAAAAAAAAAAAAAAAUUAACUCUAAGCCAGGUGUGGUGACUCAUUACAGUCCACUGCUCAGGAGGCUGAGGCAGGAGAAAGCUGCAAGUUUGAGGUCAGCUUGGGAUAUGCCACAAAUUCCAGAUCAGCCUAAAGUACUAUGUCAAAUCCUAUCUCAAUAAAUAGCAAUUCAUUUAACUCUCUUAGCUGCUUUUUAGGUAGAUAUGUCUUUGUGCCCACUUUAUACAAGAGGCAGCUAAAAGAGUAUAGCAGUAUUAACUGACUAGCCCAGGGUCAUGUAACUAGUAUAAAACCAUGUUUGAUGGUUCCUUUUCCCCCUCACUUUAUCUUGUAUUGGAUUGUAUCCAUCAAGAUAGGCUUGGUCAAGGGUUAGCAAAGCUCUGUGAAGAGCCAGAUAAGUACUUUGCUCCUCAAAGGCCGCCUCAUCUGGUUCCUGCUACAAUUACUCAAUAUGACCUUUGCAGUCUGAAAGCAGCCACAGAGGACAGGUACAGAGUGAGUGGCCUCUGUCCAGUGAGCCUUGACUUGAACAAGCAGUGGGCAGCCCUGGAGUUGAGACUGUAGACUCCAGAGUUGGCUAGGACAUAGUGACAGUCAAACCCUAAAGCUCACUGGCUUAGUACAGCAGAAGGAAACAUUUUGUUAUCUUGAAGGCAGAAGGGAUCAGAGGGAAACCCACAGCAGGGCUUUAGAGCCCUCUGCGGGGGCUUCUCAGCCUGGGCUUCUAGGUUACUGUGCAGCUUGUCAGAAGCUCUGGGGAGGGCAGAGAAACCUAAAAGCAUCCACAUGGAAGUGGCAGGUAUUGCUCACCUCUUUUCAUUCACACAAGUUCAAAAAUGGUGACCCCUUGUUCUUCCCACAAGCACAGUCAGUUCUGCCCCUCCAGUCCCCUCUAAAGCGCCAAGUCUGCAAAGCCAGGUGCUCUCAUAGUGCAGUUCUGGGGUUGUUCUCUGGGUACCUUAUGGUGGUUUGAAUAUGUUUGGCCCAGGGAGUGGCACUAUUUAGAGAUGAGGCCUUUUUGGAGUUGGUAAGACCUUGGCAGAAAUGUGUCAUUGUGGGCAUGGGCUUUAAGAGACCCUCCCUCCUUCUAGCCGUGUGGGAGCCAGUUUUCUCUUAGCGGCCUUCAGAUGAAGAUGUAGAACUCUCAGAUCCUCCUGCACCAUGCCUGCCUGGACACUGCCAUGCUCCUGUCUUGAUGAUAACAGACUGAACCUCUGAACCUGUAAGCCAGCCCGAUUAAAUGUUGUUCUU